GCAGCUCAGGGGUAGAGUGUCUGCCUUCCAUGGAGAAGGUCGCCAGUUCAAUCCCCGACAUGUACA